CCUACGGGUGGCUGCAGUGAGGAAUAUUGGUCAAUGGGCGCGAGCCUGAACCAGCCAAGUAGCGUGAAGGAUGACUGCCCUACGGGUUGUAAACUUCUUUUAUAAGGGAAUAAAAUGAGGCACGUGUGCCUUUUUGUAUGUACUUUAUGAAUAAGGAUCGGCUAACUCCGUGCCAGCAGCCGCGGUAAUACGGAGGAUCCGAGCGUUAUCCGGAUUUAUUGGGUUUAAAGGGAGCGUAGAUGGGUUGUUAAGUCAGUUGUGAAAGUUUGCGGCUCAACCGUAAAAUUGCAAUGGAUACUGGCAGGCUUGAGUACAGUUGAGGUAGGCGGAAUUCGUGGUGUAGCGGUGAAAUGCUUAGAUAUCACGAAGAACUCCGAUUGCGAAGGCAGUUCACUAAACUGCCACUGACAUUGAGGCUCGAAAGUGUGGGUAUCAAACAGGAUUAGAUACCCUUGUAGUC
rnacentral:rRNA from 1 species